GAUGAACGCUGGCGGCGUGCCUAAUACAUGCCAGUCGAGCGAACAGAUGAGGAGCUUGCUCCUCUGACGUUAGCGGCGGACGGGUGAGUAACACGUGGAUAACCUACCUAUAAGACUGGGAUAACUUCGGGAAACCGGAGCUAAUACCGGAUAAUAUAUUGAACCGCAUGGUUCAGUAGUGAAAGACGGUUUUGCUGUCACUUAUAGAUGGAUCCGCGCCGCAUUAGCUAGUUGGUAAGGUAACGGCUUACCAAGGCAACGAUGCGUAGCCGACCUGAGAGGGUGAUCGGCCACACUGGAACUGAGACACGGUCCAGACUCCUACGGGAGGCAGCAGUAGGGAAUCUUCCGCAAUGGGCGAAAGCCUGACGGAGCAACGCCGCGUGAGUGAUGAAGGUCUUCGGAUCGUAAAACUCUGUUAUUAGGGAAGAACAAAUGUGUAAGUAACUAUGCACGUCUUGACGGUACCUAAUCAGAAAGCCACGGCUAACUACGUG
rnacentral:rRNA from 1 species